rnacentral:rRNA from 1 species
GACGAACGCUGGCGGCGUGCCUAAUACAUGCAAGUCGAACGCAGUGGGGACGGGUGAGUAACACGUGGGUAACCUCCCAUCAGAGGGGAUAACACUUGGAAACAGGUGCUAAACCGAUACUGAUUGUUGGCCCGGCGGGGGAUUAGCUAGUUGGUGAGGUAACGGCCCACCAAGGCCACGAUGCAUAGCUGACCUGAGAGGGUGAUCAGCCACACUGGGACUGAGACACGGCCCAGACUCCUACGGGAGGCAGCAGUAGGGAAUCUUCGGCAAUGGACGAAAGUCUGACCGAGCCACGCCGCGUGUGUGAAGAAGGUUUUCGGAUCGUAAAGCACUGUUGUUAGAGAAGCGGGAGCGAAAGAGAAAGCCCCGGCUAACUACGUGCCAGCAGACGCGGUAAUAC